AUUGAACGCUGGCGGCAUGCCUUACACAUGCAAGUCGAACGGUAACGGGCCUUCGGGUGCCGACGAGUGGCGAACGGGUGAGUAAUACAUCGGAACGUGCCCGAUCGUGGGGGAUAACGAGGCGAAAGCUUUGCUAAUACCGCAUACGAUCUACGGAUGAAAGCAGGGGACCGCAAGGCCUUGUGCGGACGGAGCGGCCGAUGGCAGAUUAGGUAGUUGGUGGGAUAAAAGCUUACCAAGCCGACGAUCUGUAGCUGGUCUGAGAGGAUGAUCAGCCACACUGGGACUGAGACACGGCCCAGACUCCUACGGGAGGCAGCAGUGGGGAAUUUUGGACAAUGGGCGCAAGCCUGAUCCAGCCAUGCCGCGUGCAGGAUGAAGGCCUUCGGGUUGUAAACUGCUUUUGUACGGAACGAAAAGCCUUCUUCUAAUACAGGAGGGUCAUGACGGUACCGUAAGAAUAAGCACCGGCUAACUACGUGCCAGCCGCCGCCGUAA
rnacentral:rRNA from 1 species